rnacentral:rRNA from 1 species
UUCAUUGAGAGUUUGAUCCUGGCUCAGGAUGAACGCUGGCGGCGUGUCUAAGGCAUGCAAGUCGAACGACACAGUGGCAAACGGGAGAGUAAGACAGCGGUAACCUACCCCAUAGACGAGGACAACCAUUGGAAACGAUGGCUAAUACUCGAUAGUCUAGAUAAUCAUAUGUUUAUCUAGUAAAUGCUCCGGCGCUAUGGGAGGGACCUUUGCAUCAUCAGCUUGUUGGUAGGGUAACGGCCUACCAAGGCUACAACGAUUAGGGGGUGUGAGAGCAUGGCCCCCCUCACUGGGACUGAGACACUGCCCAGACACCUACGGGUGGCUGCAGUCAAGAAUCUUCCCCAAUGGACGAAAGUCUGAGGGAGCGACGCCGCGUGCAGGAUGAAGGCCUUCGGGUCGUAAACUGCUUUUAUCAGGGACGAACGAUGACGGUACCUGAAGAAUAAGAGGUUGCUAACUCUGUGCCAGCAGCAGCGGUAAUACAGAGACCUCGAGCGUUAUCCGGAUUUAUUGGGCGUAAAGUGUCCGCAGGUGGCUUUGCGCGUCGUCGGUUAAAUCUAAAGGCUCAACCUUUAGACCGCCGAUGAUACGGCAAAGCUAGAGCAUGGGAGAGGUAAGCGGAAUUACCGGUGUAGUAGUAAAAUACGUUAAUAUCGGUAGGAACACCAAAUGCGAAGGCAGCUUACUGGAACAUUGCUGACACUCAGGGACGAAAGCGUGGGGAGCGAAAGGGAUUAGAUACCCC